rnacentral:lncRNA from 1 species
AUUGGAAUUGGUUUCCCAUGUAGUUGACAUCCUGCUGCAUUUCUUCAGGAAAAGCACAUUGACCAUUAAUAUGGUCACCGCCACAUAAAUCACAAAGUUGUUGGGUCUGAGAAAUAUUCCUUAUCCCCUUUGGAAAUUCAAAAAGGACCUAUGUUAACUUGUCCAAUUUUUGGGUAAGGAGAUGAUUUUGAGCAGCCAUAGCAUCAUUAGCAGGAAGAUGCAAAAGUCCUCCUUUC